rnacentral:rRNA from 1 species
AUUGAACGCUGGCGGCGUGCUUUACACAUGCAAGUCGAACGGCAGCGGGGUAGUGCUUGCACUACUGUCCGGCGAGUGGCGAACGGGUGAGUAAUAUAUCGGAACGUACCGAGUAAUGGGGGAUAACCAAUCGAAAGAUUGGCUAAUACCGCAUACGUCCUACGGGAGAAAGCGGGGGAUCGCAAGACCUCGCGUUAUUCGAGCGGCCGAUAACUGAUUAGCUAGUUGGUGGGGUAAAGGCCUACCAAGGCGACGAUCAGUAGCGGGUCUGAGAGGACGAUCCGCCACACUGGGACUGAGACACGGCCCAGACUCCUACGGGAGGCAGCAGUGGGGAAUUUUGGACAAUGGGGGCAACCCUGAUCCAGCCAUGCCGCGUGUAUGAAGAAGGCCUUCGGGUUGUAAAGUACUUUUGUUAGGGAAGAAAAGGGAAGUGCUAAUACCACUUUUUGCUGACGGUACCUAAAGAAUAAGCACCGGCUAACUACGUGCCAGCAGCCGCGGUAAUACGUAGGGUGCGAGCGUUAAUCGGAAUUACUGGGCGUAAAGCGAGCGCAGACGGUUAUUUAAGCAGGAUGUGAAAUCCCCGGGCUUAACCUGGGAACUGCGUUCUGAACUGGAUAGCUAGAGUGUGUCAGAGGGGGGUAGAAUUCCACGUGUAGCAGUGAAAUGCGUAGAGAUGUGGAGGAAUACCGAUGGCGAAGGCAGCCCCCUGGGAUAACACUGACGUUCAUGCUCGAAAGCGUGGGUAGCAAACAGG